UGAUAAUAUUGGCCGAUUUACCAAAAUUCUCCCCCAUAUAAGGUUAGUGGAUCGACCAUGCACUAUAUUUACGACUUUAUGUUCUUCCAAAAAUCAGGGUCUUAUAAUGAUUAUCGAUCGAUGGGAGCUUUAUGGUUUUUCAGGUCUCCGAAGGUUUUCAAAUUUCAAAUUAUUUGUAGUUAUUAUGAUUUCACUGUUAGCACCCGUGUGGGAACUAUCGAAUUCAAAAAACAAGUUCUUAUUUUGUUAUAGAAAUUUUAAUUAAGGGAAAGGAGAAACUUUUUUGUAUUCUUAGUGAGGUUUAUGCUCAUUAUACUAGAUUAUAUUGACAUUCAUCAAUUGAUUACGAUGAAGCCUAUCAUAUAUAAAUGUGCUUAUAUAGGAAAUUUUUGGGUACCAACAUCCCCUUACUUGUGAAUUUCGGAUUAUGUGGAAAUUUAAGUAUAACAGUGACAUAUAGAUGUGCUUAUGUAUGAAAUUUGGGAAACAACAACCUGUUACUCACAUAUUUCGAAUUAUGUGGCUAUUUAAGUGUUAUAUUGAUGCUUUAUUUAAUGAUUUAACCAUAUCUACCAUGCUUUUGUAUGUAUGUGUAUUUUUGUCAUUAUUUCAG
rnacentral:lncRNA from 1 species